CCUACGGGUGACAGCAGUGAGGAAUAUUGGGCAAUGGGCGCUAGCCUGAACCAGCCAAGUAGCGUGAAGGAUGACUGCCCUAUGGUUUGUAAACUUCUUUUAUAUGGGAAUAAAGUGCAGUAUGUAUACUGCUUUGCAUGUACCUUAUGAAUAAGGAUCGGCUAACUCCGUGCCAGCAGCCGCGGUAAUACGGAGGAGCCGAGCGUUAUCCGGAUUUACUGGGGUUAAAGGGAGCGUAGGCGGGUUGUUAAGUCAAUUGUGAAAGUUUGCGGCUCAACCGUAAAAUUGCAGUUGAUACUGGCAUACUGGAGUAUAGUAGAGGUAGGCGGAAUUCGUGGUGUAGCUGUGAAAUGCUUAGAUAUCACGAAGAACUUCGAUUUCGAAGGCAGCCUGCUGGACUGUAACUGACGCUGAUGCGCGAAAGUGUGGGUAUCAAACAGGAUUAGAUACCCUUGUAGUC
rnacentral:rRNA from 1 species